GAUGAAGAACGCAGCGAAAUGCGAUAAGUAAUGUGAAUUGCAGAAUUCAGUGAAUCAUCGAAUCUUUGAACGCACAUUGCGCCCGCUAGUAUUCUGGCGGGCAUGCCUGUCCGAGCGUCAUUUCAACCCUCAAGCCCCCGGGCUUGGUGUUGGGGAUCGGCGAGCCUCCGCGCCCGCCGUCCCCUAAAUCUAGUGGCGGUCUCGCUGUAGCUUCCUCUGCGUAGUAGCACACCUCGCACUGGGAAACAGCGCGGCCACGCCGUUAAACCCCCAACUUCUGAACGUUUGACCUCGGAUCAGGUAGGAAUACCCGCUGAACUUAAGCAUAUCAAUAAGCGGGAGGA
rnacentral:misc_RNA from 1 species